AUUAACCCAAUCCAUGUUGGUAAAAUGCCUAUUUACUCAGUAUAACUACAAUCAGCAUUAUUCAACUUUAUAUGUGAUUUACCUAAACAUGCUAGGGAGUUUCCCCUUGACAUUGACUAACACCCUCAUUAACAAGAUGGCGCUGGAAUCUGGGGGAGACUUCCAAGAUACCAGUGACAUCACACCCGGUAGGAAGAGCAAUAAAAUGGACCACUUAACACCUAACCAAUAAUUGAUGUAUUAUUCCAUGUUAUCU
rnacentral:lncRNA from 1 species